AGCCUUAUAUUCAAUGAUGAUUCUGGAUUGCAAAUCUAGAGGUGACGCUGCUAUGCCUCUAAGGCUU
rnacentral:tRNA from 1 species